CUGAUACUGAGACAGACAGACAGAGGGACACUGACAGACACUGACAGUGACAACAGAAGAGAGACCCCAACUGGGAUAUCUCACUAUAGAUCUCUUUCCGAUUGGUUAAGACGACACCGACAAUCACAUGGACUUGUGUGACAACUCCAGUGCCUCCAACACAGACAUCUAUGAUGAUGAUGACCCCAAGGACAUUGAAAUAUCAGUGGCCCUUACUAAUCACCAAACAAAAGCAAAAGAGAUUCCAGCGAAACACCAACCAAAAGCAAAAAAGAUUCCAGUGAAUCACAUACCAGAGGUAGUGAUUCAGCAACCGAAAACACAAAAAAUGCAUCAGCAAACAAUGCCAGAGAAGAAGAAAACCCAUCAGGGAGAAAUGGAUCUCAAGAGCGAAUGUGCUAAGGCCUGUGCUAAAGGCUGUGCUAAGCCCUGUGCAAUCGGGUUGGUUAGUUGCUGUGUUUACCUCUUCCAGUUGUGUACAGAUGACAACAGCUGAGGAUGUCAAGGAGAAUACAGAGAACUAUGAAAGUAUAUAAUCAAGUCUACUGCUUUUGAGUCACUACUGCUCCUUGACUUUGCAUCUUUCCUGCUAAUGCUACAUUACUACGUAAACUCUCUGUGUAUAAUCUCUCUGUAUAUACAGGCAUGUGGAAUAAGUAGUAAACCCUCUGGAAACUUGUCUUUAUUUCUACAUAUUUGGACACAUAGGUAUUUGAGUGAAAU